GACGAACGCUGGCGGCGCGCCUAACACAUGCAAGUCGAACGAGCGAGAGAGAGCUUGCUUUCUCGAGCGAGUGGCGAACGGGUGAGUAACGCGUGAGGAACCUGCCUCAAAGAGGGGGACAACAGUUGGAAACGACUGCUAAUACCGCAUAAGCCCACGGCUCGGCAUCGAGCAGAGGGAAAAGGAGCAAUCCGCUUUGAGAUGGCCUCGCGUCCGAUUAGCUAGUUGGUGAGGUAACGGCCCACCAAGGCAACGAUCGGUAGCCGGACUGAGAGGUUGAACGGCCACAUUGGGACUGAGACACGGCCCAGACUCCUACGGGAGGCAGCAGUGGGGAAUAUUGCACAAUGGGGGAAACCCUGAUGCAGCGACGCCGCGUGGAGGA
rnacentral:rRNA from 1 species